GCGCCGCGCACAGGCGACCGCCGUCGGCCAUGAUGGCAGCAGCUGCAGGACCUAAUACAACUAAUUUCGCUCAAAGUUCCGCUUUUGCUGACGCUGUACAGCGCGCCAGGCAGAUUGUGACAGUGUGACAUCAAUGCUCAAGAAAGUCAACAUAUUUCAAGUAAGCUAAGAAUCAGUUUAGACUUGAGAUUGAAAGUUUUGAGGAAAUGUGCUAUUUUACAUUUUAUAUCUAACCAAGUAUUCCUCUAAAUAUGCAUAUAUAAAAAUCAGUGCAAAUGAAUUAGGUUGCAUAAUCAUGUGUUUUAAGUUGAUUCAAGAUCUAUUACAAGAAAGAGUUACAGGAUAUGUCUAGGUUAGCUUUAAGUUCUGAUGUCUAGUUGGAUAGAAAUGUACUGGUUUAAUUAUAAAAGAUGUUAUAAAAGUACCCCCACUAAGAUGGUCAGCAUUAUAUGUAUGACAAAUUACAAGGGUAUUGUUAAAAAUGUGAAUAUGUAAUGGGCAGUUUGGGGAUUUCUAUUUGUAUGAUCUAAUUGGGAUUUUUGAAGUGGUGUUCAAAAAUCAAUCAGCAAGAAGGCUUCUAUUAGAUUGAUUUAGAGUAUCAAGAAAACAAGAGUAUCACAAUUCAGAAAACAUAUUGGUAACUAUGAAGUUGCAAGAGAAUUUAGGAUAUUGAGUUUUAGAAUCAAAUUAGAUUAAUAACAAAUAUUUCCAAGUUGUCAUAUUGUAUUAACCAUGUAAAGAUAGAGCUAUUUAUGUUAUAUAAUUAUUUAACCCUAGCAUAUCAAAAGGCCUUCCCAUUACCAUGUUAAAAAAAUUGAAUUACUAACUUCAAAGUCCAUUUUAAAAUAAAAUAUUUAGUUGAUUCAAAAAAAUGAAAGGAACACAGGAGAUUGAUUUGAAUGCAGAUUUGAAAUGUGGAAAUGGUUAUUCUAUAUACUGUCAGUAGUUUUGGCCAAUUGGUGUGGUUGUAUAAGCAUGCUGCUGAAUGCUUCAAGUGCACCUUUAUGUAUGUUACGUAUGUUUCUGUUUGUGCAUGUGUUUGCAUAUAAAGAAAAGAAAGAAAACAAAAUAUUAAGAAAUACACACAUAAGGAC